AUGCAAGUCGAACGGCAGCACGGACUUCGGUCUGGUGGCGAGUGGCGAACGGGUGAGUAACAUAUCGGAACGUAUCCAAUAAUGGGGGAUAACUAAUCGAAAGGUUGGCUAAUACCGCAUACGCCCUACGGGGGAAAGCAGGGGAUCUUCGGACCUUGCGUUAAUGGAGCGGCCGAUAUCUGAUUAGCUAGUUGGUGGGGUAAAGGCCCACCAAGGCGACGAUCAGUAGCUGGUCUGAGAGGACGACCAGCCACACUGGAACUGAGACACGGUCCAGACUCCUACGGGAGGCAGCAGUGGGGAAUUUUGGACAAUGGGCGCAAGCCUGAUCCAGCCAUUCCGCGUGAGUGAAGAAGGCCUUCGGGUUGUAAAGCUCUUUCGCAAGGGAAGAAACGUUACCGGUGAAUAUCCGGUGAUAAUGACGGUACCUUGAUAAGAAGCACCGGCUAACUACGUGCCAGCAGCCGCGGUAAUACGUAGGGUGCGAGCGUUAAUCGGAAUUACUGGGCGUAAAGCGUGCGCAGGCGGUUUUGUAAGUCAGAUGUGAAAUCCCCGAGCUCAACUUGGGAACUGCGUUUGAAACUACAAGACUAGAAUAGGUCAGAGGGGGGUAGAAUUCCACGUGUAGCAGUGAAAUGCGUAGAGAUGUGGAGGAAUAUCAAUGGCGAAGGCAGCCCCCUGGGAUCAUAUUGACGCUCAUGCACGAAUGCGUGGUGAGCAAACAGGAUUAGAUAUCCC
rnacentral:rRNA from 1 species